UCUGAAAUGGCAGAUAGAUGUAUAGGAUUUAAGCUCCUAUUAGGAAAAAUUUUUUUUCUUUCAGAA
rnacentral:tRNA from 1 species